rnacentral:rRNA from 1 species
UACGUAGGGGGCAAGCGUUGUCCGGAUUUAUUGGGCGUAAAGAGCGUGUAGGCGGCUUGGAAGGUCAGAUGUGAAAACUCGAGGCUCAACCUCGAGACGUCGGUUGAAACCACCUGGCUAGAGUCCGGAAGAGGAGUGUGGAAUUCCCGGUGUAGCGGUGAAAUGCGCAGAUAUCGGGAAGAACACCCGUGGCGAAGGCGGCACUCUGGGACGGUACUGACGCUGAGGCGCGAAAGCGUGGGGAGCAAACGGG